UUCCUUCCCAAUGGCAACUAUGUUUGGAUGUUGGAUCUACACUUUCUCAAGCACUGUGAUCUUCAAAUCAAAGGAGAUUUCUCCCAUUAUAUACUUCUUAUGAUCAACAAAUUCCAUCAUCUCCCCACUAAGAGAAAGUACUCCAAGAUGAUAGAAUGAUUUUAAAGUUAUGGGACUACAACAGCAGCCACAGGAACCUUGAGUAAGUACCAUGAACCCUGACCCUCAGCGUUAAUUUGUAAGCCUUUGGCAGUGAGAUGGAAUGUCUUCCUUCAGUUUGAAAC
rnacentral:lncRNA from 1 species